rnacentral:lncRNA from 1 species
GGCGGAGUCUUCCUUGCGGUUGGUGUCAUGGACGGAGCUUGCAAGGGUCAAUCCCGCUGAGAACUUCGGUUGAGGGUAUUUUAUACCCAACAGAUCUAAUAGUUAGAUCUAAAAUUUUAGCAUCGAUGAGAUCGAUAUGAUUUUUAUUUUCAGAUCUAAAGUGUAUAUUUACAUAUCAAAGAUUAUGAUGUGAUAGUUUAAGAUAGGAUCUUAUAUA